rnacentral:rRNA from 1 species
GACGAACGCUGGCGGCGUGCUUAACACAUGCAAGUCGAACGGGACCCGCAAGGGUUCAGUGGCGAACGGGUGCGUAACACGUGAAGAAUUUGUCCAACGGCGGGGGAUAGCCGGCCCAACGGCCGGGUAAUACCGCGUACGACCUUUGAGGGGCAUCCCUCGAUGGUGAAAGCCGCAAGGCGCCGAUGGAGAACUUCGCGGCCUAUCAGCUAGUUGGUGAGGUCAUGGCUCACCAAGGCGACGACGGGAGCUGGUCCGAGAGGAUGACCAGCCACAUUGGGACUGAGACACGGCCCAGACUCCUACGGGAGGCAGCAGUGGGGAAUAUUGCGCAAUGGGCGAAAGCCUGACGCAGCGACGCCGCGUGUGGGAUGACGGCCU